rnacentral:rRNA from 1 species
UACGUAGGGUGCGAGCGUUGUCCGGAAUUAUUGGGCGUAAAGAGCUCGUAGGCGGUCUGUCGCGUCUGCUGUGAAAACCCGAGGCUCAACCUCGGGCCUGCAGUGGGUACGGGCAGACUAGAGUGCGGUAGGGGAGAAUGGAAUUCCUGGUGUAGCGGUGGAAUGCGCAGAUAUCAGGAGGAACACCGAUGGCGAAGGCAGUUCUCUGGGCCGUAACUGACGCUGAGGAGCGAAAGCGUGGGGAGCGAAC